rnacentral:rRNA from 1 species
UACGUAGGGGGCAAGCGUUGUCCGGAAUCAUUGGGCGUAAAGAGCGCGUAGGCGGCCCGACAAGUCCGCUGUGAAAGUCCAGGGCUCAACCCUGGAAGGCCGGUGGAAACUGUCGGGCUAGAGUCCGGAAGAGGCGAGUGGAAUUCCCGGUGUAGCGGUGAAAUGCGCAGAUAUCGGGAGGAACACCAAUGGCGAAGGCAGCUCGCUGGGACGGUACUGACGCUGAGACGCGAAAGCGUGGGGAGCAAACAGG